UACGUAGGGUGCAAGCGUUGUCCGGAAUUAUUGGGCGUAAAGAGCUCGUAGGCGGUCUGUCGCGUCUGCUGUGAAAAUCCAGGGCUCAACCCUGGACCUGCAGUGGGUACGGGCAGACUAGAGUGCGGUAGGGGAGAUCGGAAUUCCUGGUGUAGCGGUGGAAUGCGCAGAUAUCAGGAGGAACACCGAUGGCGAAGGCAGGUCUCUGGGCCAUUACUGACACUGAGAAGCGAAAGCAUGGGGAGCGAACAGG
rnacentral:rRNA from 1 species